GCCGAUGUGGCGGAAUUGGUAGACGCACACGACUCAAAAUCGUGCGGGAAACCAUGUGGGUUCGAGUCCCACCAUCGGUACCA
rnacentral:tRNA from 4 species